UUUUUGAACAAGUCCUUUACCAAAAGAAUUUGAACCAAUAACUAAUGCUCUCUUAUAAUCUUGCAAUGUUCCGGUAACGAUUUCUGAAGCGGAUGCAGAAUAACCAUUGAUAAGAAUAAUCAUUGGUAAAUCGGUACAUAUCGGUUUAUCUUCCGUACAAAAUUGUUGUUCCAGUGUUUUAUCUUUACAUUUCGUAGAAACAACUAAACUACCUUCUUUUAUAAAUAAACUACAUGUAUUUACAGCAGAAUCUACUAAUCCUCCCGGAUUAUUUCUUA
rnacentral:ncRNA from 1 species